rnacentral:rRNA from 1 species
CUACGGGACGCUCAGUGGGGAAUAUUGCACAAUGGGCGCAAGCCUGAUGCAGCCAUACCGCGUGUAUGAAGAAGGCCUUCGGGUUGUAAAGUACUUUCAGCGGGGAGGAAGGGAGUAAAGUUAAUACCUUUGCUCAUUGACGUUACCCGCAGAAGAAGCACCGGCUAACUCCGUGCCAGCAGCCGCGGUAAUACGGAGGGUGCAAGCGUUAAUCGGAAUUACUGGGCGUAAAGCGCACGCAGGCGGUUUGUUAAGUCAGAUGUGAAAUCCCCGGGCUCAACCUGGGAACUGCAUCUGAUACUGGCAAGCUUGAGUCUCGUAGAGGGGGGUAGAAUUCCAGGUGUAGCGGUGAAAUGCGUAGAGAUCUGGAGGAAUACCGGUGGCGAAGGCGGCCCCCUGGACGAAGACUGACGCUCAGGUGCGAAAGCGUGGGGAGCAAACAGGAUUAGAUACCCGUGUAGUC